GACAGGGUUCUGAGCAACCUGAUGUAGCUGUAGGUGUCUGUUCAUUGGAGGGGAGUUGGACCAGAUAGUCUCUAAGGUGCCCUUCCAACUCAAACGAUUUUAUGCUUCUGUGACAUUGAUACUAUUCUAAGGUAAGUGUGUGUGUUUGUGUAUACAUCUAUGUACAACAGGCAUAUGAAUGAAUUGCGAAUGAAUUCAAGACCUUCAUCUCCACAAACAGGGGGUCAAAAGUGAAAUAAAACAAAAUCAUGCAGUGGUUAGAGCAAGCCACUAGGGGAAACAUAGUCACAUGCAUUGAACCACUGUCCCUGACAAGAAAUGUACAAUGAGAGGGAUAGAUGUAAUCCUGAUAAGGUUGGUCUCAAAGAAUCAGCAGAUUAAACGUCUGAGAAUUCAACUUCGAGAUCCCAGUAUGAGCAUAUAUACACGUGUGUGCUUAAUGCUGCAUAUCUGUGGAUUGGUUUUGAUUCCUUCUAUGCACGCUAAGUUUGUGCACAAAGCUUUGUAGGUUUAAUGCUUCUCUUUCAAACCAAACAGUGCUGCGAUGCUGUAUACUCACUGUUUGCUUUUUUAACAUCCUUCUCUAUAACACUGAUACUUCAUUUUGCACACGUGAGUGACUCUGUGAACAAAAAUAGCUCCACUGCUUUCAUAUCUGUAGGUGGGACAGCUCACUGCAUUAUGUGUUCACACCUGUACUUUAGAACUGGCAUUUAAACUUCUGAUUUCUCUGUAAAACACAGUAUGGUGGAUUUUCUAAUUUAUACACUAUUUCUGUGCUUGGUUUAUAUCCUGAAAAAAAAUCAAGCAGGCUUUCCCUCGUCCAUAAGCUUCUACAUGUUGUCCAUUACCUAUUUUUGCCUUUACUAAGCUUCACAGUGAAGUGAAAUCAACAUCAUUCUUCUCCCGUUCCUAUGCUAACCCGCGCUCAUCCCUCCCGGAUGAAUCCCAUGGAUUUCCCGGCGCAGCCUGAACGUAGCACACAGUUCUGAGGAUGCCCAGGUUCAUACUCAGCAAAUCCCACUCAUCACUGGUGACCCCGUGGAUCUACUAGGGCCGCAUGAAGGGAUGAACGCAGAGCUGUGGUCGUCCCAUAGAGAAACUAUGAGAAAUAACUCUCAGCUUCAUAAUGUUAGUACAUAGUACUACAUAGCCUUCUCCGCCCCCUCCUCAUCCUCCCACCCCAUUUUUAUUAACAGUGACCCCUCUCUCAAGCAGCGAUGACAGCAGGUGGAGAAGAGGAAGCGCUGCCAACUGCCUCCCAGCAUUAAGAAGAGCUCUCAGGGCUUUCGCCCCGAGAAUUUGCUCAUGUAAAUAACGCGCCACAUCGCUGCUCGGCACGCCGGGUAUAUUUUAAGCAGGGCCACACGUGAUAGGGGUGUACGAGCGCUCUGUGCAUGCCGACGUGGAUACGCCGCUGUGCGCGCUUUAAAGACCCGCUGGCGGCGCGGGGUGCCCAGGCCUGACGGCACUGCAGCCCGUGCAGAGAUGACCGGCUGCUCCCAUAUCAAGGGAACCUCUCUCACAAACAGCCAUUUCUAUCAGCUGCCCGUGGGCCGCGUCCCGUACACGAGUGGGAAUCCAUUACAAUGGAAGUUUCAUAAAAGCGAGCGAAAUUACAAAUGAACGACGCUGAGAAACACCCCCCGGGGGGCUCUUGGAGACCCCGCUGUGCCCCUGCCGCCGCCCGCCCCGCGCUGCCCCGCGGGCCCCGCUCCGCGCCGCCGUGCCGCCUCCUCGCGUUAAUCCGCGGCACAAUGCCGCGGGCAAUAAGCGGCCCUUCCUGCUGCCGGCUGGGGGGGUAGGGAGCAGAGAGUUUAAACUUUUUAUUCCAUAGAGGGGGAUUAAAAAAAAAAAAAACAAAAAAAAAAACAGAAAGAAAGAAAAUAAAAAGAAAGGGAAAAAAAAAGAAAACAUGGCUGGGGGAGGGGAAGCACCUGGGAAUGGGUCUCCCGCUCCCCCCAGGGAAAGCAGCUCCCCUCGACCGCCCUGUAGCCCGAUCGCUGCUGGCCCCUGGAUAAACACGCGAGCACAAAAGCAGCCCCGAGCGCCGUGUGACCGCGCACGGAGCUGCCUCCUGCGAGAACAGGCUGCGGCCGGGCCCGGAGAGGGGCGCGGGGCUCCGCACGGCGCCGGGGCCCGACGGGAGCGGGGCCGGGGCCGGGAGCGGGGCCGCGAUUGUGGUGGAAGCGGCGGUAGCGCUGCCCUUUUGAAUGCCUCCCGCAGCUCGGAGUGCUGGCAGGGCGCUGGGAGCGCCAGUGAAUGUAGCCCCGCAGAGCCAAUGAGCUGGGACCGGAUGCGAUAUAUCCUCUGGGACAACAACUGCUCUGUUCCUCCUCAGAUCCACAUGACGCCAUUUACUGCUGCUUUUGCAGAGAGAUCACCCUACCUCCUCCGGAAAGAAAAAGAGAGAGAGGGAGAGAGAGAGCGAGCAGAAAAACGCCGAGCCCCUCCAGCUCAGAUCUCAAACCUUCCUCCUCCUCCACCUCCUCCAAACACACAACAACAACCACCACCACAAAUCCGCUGCGCUCCCCAAACACCCCCCCCACCCCCCCGCUCGCAAACCGCAGAGCCGCCUGCAACACACUCACACACACACACACACACACACACACGCUCGCAGAGGGAGCGAGAAAGCCGAGGGAGAGAGGGAGAGGAGCGUGCGGCGAGCGGCGUUCGGCAGCGCGGCCCCCCCCCCCCCCGCCCGGCUGCUGCUGCUGUUGCUUCCUCGGAUGAGUUCGCUGGAAGAAAGCUUUGCCAUCGGAUUUUAGAUCCACUUGAUUUUGUUUUCUGUGGCUUUCUCCUUCCUCUCGAUCCUUUGCAACGGCAGCAAGAAAAAAAAAAAAAAAAAAAAGGGGAAAAAAAAAAAAAAGAAAGGUGACUCGGUGCUGGCGGUUCGGCCUCCUGUUCAUUGAGGGAGAAAAAAAGGAAAGUGUGUGAGAAGGCUGGAUUUAUUUGCAAACCGCAGGAAGAAGAAAAUACAACAGAGAGAGGGGUUUGGUGCAGCGCCGCGAUCACGGAUUUCAGAUGUGUUCUAAGCCUGCUGGGGUGAGCACGCUUCCGGGCAG